rnacentral:rRNA from 1 species
AUUGAACGCUGGCGGUAUGCCUUACACAUGCAAGUCGAACGGCAGCACGGGGCAACCUGGUGGCGAGUGGCGGACGGGUGAGUAACAUAUCGGAACAUGUCCGGAAGUGGGGGAUAACGUAGCGAAAGUUACGCUAAUACCGCAUAUGCCCGAGGGGGAAAGGGGGGGAUCGCAAGACCUCCCGCUUUCGGAGUGGCCGAUAUCGGAUUAGCUAGUAGGUGGGGUAAAGGCCCACCUAGGCGACGAUCCGUAGCUGGUCUGAGAGGACGACCAGCCACACUGGAACUGAGACACGGUCCAGACUCCUACGGGAGGCAGCAGUGGGGAAUUUUGGACAAUGGGCGCAAGCCUGAUCCAGCCAUACCGCGUGAGUGAAGAAGGCCUUCGGGUUGUAAAGCCCUUUCAGCCGGAAAGAAAUCGUGCAGAUUAAUACUCUGUAUGGAUGACGGUACCGGAAGAAGAAGCACCGGCUAACUACGUGCCAGCAGCCGCCGUAAUAC